UGAGGAAUAUUGGUCAAUGGGGCGGGAGCCUGAACCAGCCAAGCCGCGUGAGGGAAGAAGGUACAGCGUAUCGUAAACCUCUUUUGUCAGGGAACAAAGGCGGGGACUAGUCCCCGGAUGAGGGUACCUGAAGAAAAAGCAUCGGCUAACUCCGUGCC
rnacentral:rRNA from 1 species